rnacentral:rRNA from 1 species
GACGAACCGAGCGAACGUUGUUCGGAAUCACUGGGCUUAAAGGGCGCGUAGGCGGGUGCUCAAGUCCGGGGUGGAAAUCCUCCAGCUCAACUGGAGAACUGCCUCGGAUACUGGGUGCCUCGAGGGUGGUAGGGGUAUGCGGAACUAUCGGUGGAGCGGUGAAAUGCGUUGAUAUCGAUAGGAACUCCGGUGGCGAAGGCGGCCAGCUAGACCAGUUCUGACACUGAGGCGCGAAAGCGUGGGGAGCGAACAGG